rnacentral:ncRNA from 1 species
CCAAAGGGGUGCUGGCUUAUGCCGGCUGAGAUGAUACCCUCUGACCUGAUCCGGAUAAUGCCGGCGUAGGAAGAUA